CCUACGGGAGGCAGCAGUGGGGAAUAUUGCACAAUGGGGGAAACCCUGAUGCAGCGACGCCGCGUGAGUGAAGAAGCGUUUCGGCGCGUAAAGCUCUGUCAGCGGGGAAGAAACACGGUUCGCGAGAGCCGCGGACGGUACCCGACCAAGAAGCCCCGGCUAACUACGUGCCAGCAGCCGCGGUAAUACGUAGGGGGCAAGCGUUAUCCGGAUUUACUGGGUGUAAAGGGAGAGUAGGCGGCAAGGUAAGCGAUAUGUGAAAGCCUUAGGCUUAACCAAAGGAUUGCAUAACGAACUAUCUAGCUAGAGUACAGGAGAGGAAAGCGGAAUUCCUAGUGUAGCGGUGAAAUGCGUAGAGAUUAGGAAGAACACCAGUGGCGAAGGCGGCUUUCUGGACUGAAACUGACGCUGAGGCUCGAAAGCGUGGGGAGCGAACAGGAUUAGAUACCCCAGUAGUC
rnacentral:rRNA from 1 species